rnacentral:rRNA from 1 species
CGAACGCUGGCGGCGUGCUUAACACAUGCAAGCCGAACGGAAAGGCCCUGCUUUUGUGGGGUGCUCGAGUGGCGAACGGGUGAGUAACACGUGAGUAACCUGCCCUUGACUUUGGGAUAACCUCAGGAAACUGGGGCUAAUACCGGAUAGGAGCUCCUGCUGCAUGGUGGGGGUUGGAAAGUUUCGGCGGUUGGGGAUGGACUCGCGGCUUAUCAGCUUGUUGGUGGGGUAGUGGCUUACCAAGGCCUUGACGGGUAGCCGGCCUGAGAGGGUGACCGGCCACAUUGGGACUGAGAUACGGCCCAGACUCCUACGGGAGGCAGCAGUGGGGAAUAUUGCACAAUGGGCGGAAGCCUGAUGCAGCAACGCCGCGUGCGGGAUGACGGCCUUCGGAUUGUAAACCGCUUUCGCCUGUGACGAAGCGUGAGUGACGGUAAUGGGUAAAGAAGCACCGGCUAACUACGUGCCAGCAGCCGCGGUGAUACGUAGGGUGCGAGCGUUGUCCGGAUUUAUUGGGCGUAAAGGGCUCGUAGGUGGUUGAUCGCGUCGGAAGUGUAAUCUUGGGGCUUAACCCUGAGCGUGCUUUCGAUACGGGUUGACUUGAGGAAGGUAGGGGAGAAUGGAAUUCCUGGUGGAGCGGUGGAAUGCGCAGAUAUCAGGAGGAACACCAGUGGCGAAGGCGGUUCUCUGGGCCUUUCCUGACGCUGAGGAGCGAAAGCGUGGGGAGCGAACAGGCUUAGAUACCCUGGUAGUCCACGCUGUAAACGGUGGGUACUAGGUGUGGGGUCCAUUCCACGGGUUCCGUGCCGUAGCUAACGCUUUAAGUACCCCGCCUGGGGAGUACGGCCGCAAGGCUAAAACUCAAAGGAAUUGACGGGGCCCCGCACAAGCGGCGGAGCAUGCGGAUUAAUUCGAUGCAACGCGUAGAACCUUACCUGGGUUUGACAUGGAUCGGGAGUGCUCAGAGAUGGGUGUGCCUCUUUUGGGGUCGGUUCACAGGUGGUGCAUGGCUGUCGUCAGCUCGUGUCGUGAGAUGUUGGGUUAAGUCCCGCAACGAGCGCAACCCUUGUUCACUGUUGCCAGCACGUUAUGGUGGGGACUCAGUGGAGACCGCCGGGGUCAACUCGGAGGAAGGUGGGGAUGACGUCAAGUCAUCAUGCCCCUUAUGUCCAGGGCUUCACGCAUGCUACAAUGGCUGGUACAGAGAGUGGCGAGCCUGUGAGGGUGAGCGAAUCUCGGAAAGCCGGUCUCAGUUCGGAUUGGGGUCUGCAACUCGACCUCAUGAAGUCGGAGUCGCUAGUAAUCGCAGACCAGCAACGCCGCGGUGAAUACGUUCCCGGG